AGAUAUAGAUACUGAUAUAGCUGAGUAUUUGCUGGAGGUUUGCUUGGAAGAAUCGUUAUAUAAUGAUCAUGCCGACGGGUAAGAGGUAGGUUGUGCGGUUCGUCAAAUAUAUUUGAAAAUUCAACAAGUAAAGGAAGUAGGUUUGGAUCUUCAAAUUCUAUUGGCUCUCCCUUAGUUUGCUGCUCAAGUUGUACCAAAAAGC
rnacentral:lncRNA from 1 species